rnacentral:rRNA from 1 species
GAUGAACGCUAGCUACAGGCUUAACACAUGCAAGUCGAGGGGAAACGAUAGAGAAAGCUUGCUUUUUCUAGGCGUCGACCGGCGCACGGGUGAGUAACGCGUAUCCAACCUGCCCAUCACUUGGGGAUAACCUUGCGAAAGUAAGACUAAUACCCAAUGACGUCUCUAGAAGACAUCUGAGAGAGAUUAAAGAUUUAUCGGUGAUGGAUGGGGAUGCGUCUGAUUAGCUUGUUGGCGGGGUAACGGCCCACCAAGGCGACGAUCAGUAGGGGUUCUGAGAGGAAGGUCCCCCACAUUGGAACUGAGACACGGUCCAAACUCCUACGGGAGGCAGCAGUGAGGAAUAUUGGUCAAUGGACGAGAGUCUGAACCAGCCAAGUAGCGUGCAGGAUGACGGCCCUAUGGGUUGUAAACUGCUUUUAUAAGGGAAUAAAGUGAGUCUCGUGAGACUUUUUGCAUGUACCUUAUGAAUAAGGACCGGCUAAUUCCGUGCCAG